UACAGAGGUCCCGAGCGUUGUUCGGAUUCAUUGGGCGUAAAGGGUGCGUAGGCGGCGGGGCAAGUCUGAUGUGAAAUCCCGGGGCUCAACCCCCGGAACUGCAUUGGAUACUGCCUUGCUUGAGUACUGGAGAGGAGACUGGAAUUUACGGUGUAGCAGUGAAAUGCGUAGAGAUCGUAAGGAAGGCCAGUGGCGAAGGCGAGUCUCUGGACAGUAACUGACGCUGAGGCGCGAAGGCCAGGGGAGCAAACGGG
rnacentral:rRNA from 1 species